rnacentral:lncRNA from 1 species
UAUAUAUUAAAUGAAGAUGAAGAUGAAUAAGAUUUAUUUUCAGAAGUAGCGCACUUCAUUUCUUCUAUGAAACUUUCAAAAUUAUGGACCGUGGUACCACCUAAAAUUAUUUGUACACCUGGAUUUUGUUUAUUUAAAUUAUAUAUAUUUAAACUUUCUUCGUACGUUGUCCCACCGAUCAUAAAUACAAUAAUAUCUUGUGGCCUAUGAAGUAAACGAAUAAAGGUAUGUUUAUAAAUCGUUAAA